CGGCCGCGUCGACACGCUGGCGGCGUGCUUAACACAUGCAAGUCGAACGGUGAAGCUCCAGCUUGCUGGAGUGGAUCAGUGGCGAACGGGUGAGUAACACGUGAGCAACCUGCCCCUGACUCUGGAAUAAGCGCUGGAAACGGCGUCUAAUACUGGAUACGAGAAGGGUCCGCAUGGGCACUUUCUGGAAAGUUUUUCGGUUGGGGAUGGGCUCGCGGCCUAUCAGCUUGUUGGUGAGGUAAUGGCUCACCAAGGCGACGACGGGUAGCCGGCCUGAGAGGGCGACCGGCCACACUGGGACUGAGACACGGCCCAGACUCCUACGGGAGGCAGCAGUGGGGAAUAUUGCACAAUGGGCGUCGACGCGUGAGUGAAGAAGGUUUUCGGAUCGUAAAGCUCUGUUGUAAGAGAAGAACGAGUGUGAGAGUGGAAAGU
rnacentral:rRNA from 1 species